UACGUAGGGUGCAAGCGUUGUCCGGAAUCAUUGGGCGUAAAGCGCGUGUAGGCGGUUCGGUAAGUCUGCUGUGAAAGUCCAGGGCUCAACCCUGGGAUGCCGGUGGAUACUGUCGGACUAGAGUACGGAAGAGGCGAGUGGAAUUCCCGGUGUAGCGGUGAAAUGCGCAGAUAUCAGGAAGAACACCCGUGGCGAAGGCGGCUCUCUGGGACGGUACUGACGCUGAGACGCGAAAGCGUGGGGAGCGAACAGG
rnacentral:rRNA from 1 species